rnacentral:rRNA from 1 species
UUGCACAAUGGGCGCAAGCUGAUGCAGCGACGCCGCGUGGGGGAUGACGGCCUUCGGGUUGUAAACCUCUUUCAGUAUCGGCGAACUUCGGGGUUUUCCUCGGGGUGACGGUAGGUACAGAAGAAGCACCGGCCAACUACGUGCCAGCAGCCGCGGUAAUACGUAGGGUGCGAGCGUUGUCCGGAAUUACUGGGCGUAAAGAGCUCGUAGGUGGUUUGUCGCGUUGUUCGUGAAAACUCACAGCUUAACUGUGGGCGUGCGGGCGAUACGGGCAGACUGGAGUACUGUAGGGGAGACUGGAAUUCCUGGUGUAGCGGUGGAAUGCGCAGAUAUCAGGAGGAACACCGGUGGCGAAGGCGAGUCUCUGGGCAGUAACUGACGCUGAGGAGCGAAAGCGUGGGGAGCGAACAGGAUUAGAUACCCUGGUAGUCCACGCCGUAAACGGUGGGUACUAGGUGUGGGUUUCCUUCCUUAGGGAUCCGUGCCGUAGCUAACGCAUUAAGUACCCCGCCUGGGGAGUACGGCCGCAAGGCUAAAACUCAAAGGAAUUGACGGGGGCCCGCACAAGCGGCGGAGCAUGUGGAUUAAUUCGAUGCAACGCGAAGAACCUUACCUGGGUUUGACAUGCACAGGACGCCAGCAGAGAUGUUGGUUCCCUUGUGGCCUGUGUGCAGGUGGUGCAUGGCUGUCGUCAGCUCGUGUCGUGAGAUGUUGGGUUAAGUCCCGCAACGAGCGCAACCCUUGUUCCAUGUUGCCAGCGCGUCAUGGCGGGGACUCAUGGGAGACUGCCGGGGUCAACUCGGAGGAAGGUGGGGAUGACGUCAAGUCAUCAUGCCCCUUAUGUCCAGGGCUUCACACAUGCUACAAUGGCCGGUACAAAGGGCUGCGAUGCCGUGAGGUUUAGCGAAUCCUUUAAAGCCGGUCUCAGUUCGGAUCGGGGUCUGCAACUCGACCCCGUGAAGUCGGAGUCGCU